rnacentral:lncRNA from 1 species
GCAUUCAUUGGGACGUUUAUGGACUGGGCAGCUCUCCCACAGUUCGGCGCUAAGUCUAGAUGGAGGCAGCAUGGCGGGACCACGGCCCGCAUCCGUGCUGCAGGUGAGCGGUCCUGGGCUCAGGGGCGGAUGCAGGGAGAUGCUGCAAGGGCACGAUUCUCUCCAGGUCUCAGCGGCCUGCGCUGCUACUGAAGAGGUGGCGGUGGCUACUCCAGGGCUGUGCAGGAGAACCGGGGCGGGGACGAGGAGGAGGUUGUCAGUCAACAGGAGGACCUUCCCGCGGCCCCGCCCACCGCGCCUCCCGCAGGCCCCUCCCGCCCCGCUCAGCCUGUGCCAUGAUCUGGGGUCUGGUGCUGCAUGAAGGUAGACUGGUCCUCCAGCUGGACUGUGACAAAGGAGUCUGGAAAGGAAUCCCCAGGCACACAGGCUUAGCAGUGCGCCUGUGAGAACCCAGACAUCUGGUGGCUGGGUCCAGACUGGUCCUGGCUCCGGAAAUUUGACUUGAGAGUCUAGUCUGAUGCGACAGGCAAGACUCCAGACUCUUGUUCUUCGUCUGGGAGCACCUGUCCAGAGCACCUGCCCUAGUAACAAGGUCUUGAAGAUCUCUGGGAAUUCCUAGUCUGAUGGAAGAAACAUGGCCUUUGACUCUGGGAGAUACCAAUCUGAUGGAGACGACAUGGCC